CACGUAGGGGGCAAGCGUUGUCCGGAUUUAUUGGGCGUAAAGAGCUCGUAGGCGGUUCGGUAAGUCAGGUGUGAAACCUCCAGGCUCAACCUGGAGACGCCACCUGAUACUGCUGUGACUCGAGUCCGGUAGGGGAGCGUGGAAUUCCUGGUGUAGCGGUGAAAUGCGCAGAUAUCAGGAGGAACACCGGUGGCGAAGGCGGGUCUCUGGGCCGUAAUUGACGCUGAGGAGCGAAAGCGUGGGGAGCGAACAGG
rnacentral:rRNA from 1 species